GACUCGGUAGCUCAGUUGGUAGAGCGGUGGGACGGAAUUCCUAAGUCGUGAGUUUCGAUCCUCGCUCGGAUUC